rnacentral:rRNA from 1 species
GACGAACGCUGGCGGCGUGCUUAACACAUGCAAGUCGAGCGAAAAGGCCCUGCUUUUGUGGGGCGCUCGAGUGGCGAACGGGUGAGUAACACGUGCGUAACCUGCCCUUGACUUUGGGAUAACUUCAGGAAACUGGGGCUAAUACCGGAUAGGAGCUCCUGCUGCAUGGUGGGGGUUGGUAAGUUUCGGCGGUUGGGGAUGGACUCGUGGCUUAUCAGCUUGUUGGUGGGGUAGUGGCGUACCAAGGCUUUGACGGGUAGCCGGCCUGAGAGGGUGACCGGCCACAUUGGGACUGAGAUGCGGCCCAGACUCCUACGGGAGGCAGCAGUGGGGAAUAGUGCACAAUGGGCGGAGGCCUGGUGCAGCAACGCCGCGUGGGGGAUGACGGGCAUCGGGUUGGAAUCCGAAUUCGCCUGUGACGAAGCGUGAGUGACGGUAAUGGGUAAAGAAGCACCGGCUAACUACGUG